rnacentral:rRNA from 1 species
UACGAAGGGGGCUAGCGUUGCUCGGAAUCACUGGGCGUAAAGGGUGCGUAGGCGGGUCUUUAAGUCAGGGGGGAAAUCCUGGAGCUCAACUCCAGAACUGCCUUUGAUACUGAAGAUCUUGAGUUCGGGAGAGGUGAGUGGAACUGCGAGUGUAGAGGUGAAAUUCGUAGAUAUCCGCAAGAACACCAGUGGCGAAGGCGGCUCACUGGCCCGAUACUGACGCUGAGGCACGAAAGCGUGGGGAGCAAACAGG